rnacentral:rRNA from 1 species
AUGGGGAUAAAUUUCAAGGUCAAGUUAUACAGCACGGACAGGGCGGGAAGCAGCGGAGACGGCGGCGCCGGACCCACACCGCCGCCUGCGCCAGGGCUCGCGUCGUCGCCCUCCCUCGACCCCGCGCCGGUUUCCGCCUCGUCGCUCCCGCUUCAGCCGGCACGGCAGCCGCCGCUGACCCCCAUCGUCAAGUACACGAAUGAAGGACCGGAUGUUGAUGAUGAUUGGCCCGAGGACGAGGAUGAUGACUGGCCCGAGGACGAGGAUGAUGAUGAGGACGAGGAUCAAGGACUGGAUGACGAUGAUGAUUGGCUCGAAGACGAAGAUGAUGAGGGUUGGGAGGUGAUGCAAGAGGAUGAGGUUGAAUUACCAGAUGAGGAGAAAUUCUACAUUUCAUUGUUUAUGAGCGCUCAAAAGAAGAAUCUCCCGCAUGAUCUUGUUCGGCAUCACUCGGUGCCGCUCAACAAAAAUGAAUAUUUUUCUCUGUGGGAAAAUUGGAACCAGCUGCUGGAUGGCAAGAGAACAUACCUCCGACCACUGAAAGACUGCCGUAUUCUCAGUGUCAGUGGUGAUUUCCGGUGUCCGGAUGCUCGUCCAAGGACAUUAGGAUGCCAGGAACCACUCUUGGAUUUGGUUGAGGAUUAUCCAGAUAAUGACAUUUUCCAGGAAAUUAUCAAGGUUCUUUGUCAGCGCUAUUUGCACUUCAGACGAACUCGCGGAGAUGGCAACUAUUUCUACAGAGCUUUCUUUUUCUCCUACUUGGAAAAUCUUGGACAAAUGCAGGAUAGUCAAGCUGAAGUUACUCGUCUAAUGGAACAUGUGGCAGUGUCCAGAGAGAAUUUCUGUCGUCUGAAAUGGGACAAAGCAUACUUCUUAAAUCCUGAAGAAUACUUUUCAAGUGUUGUUUCUGAGUUGAAUCAUUUGGUCAAUUCUGUUGCAAAUGGUCUGAGUUCUGAUGAGUUGUACAAGAGAAGUCUAGAGGAGAUGAUGCCACUCAGGAUCAUUUCUUUGCUAAGAUUGCUGGCAGAGACUGAGAUCCGUACUCGAGAAGCUGAUUACAAAUCAUUUAUCCCUGGAAACAUGAACAUCCAUCAGUAUUGCUACAAGGAGGUGCGGCCCCUGGAUGUUAAACCAACGAUGUUGGCAAUGAGGGCUCUAACAUAUGCACUUGGCAUCCCGCUGCGACUCGAAAUUCUAGGCAGAGCCUUGAUGGCUGGAGAUUUGCAAGUAAAGCGCCUUGAUUUCUUCCCUCGAUCAGAGUCAGGGAAGGGUGCUUUCCAUAUGGUCCAAAGCUACUGGUCCUCAACCUCAACCCCUGAACUGCUGGAGCUGGGAAGUGGCAACCUGUUAUCAUCUGAUGGCACACCUUCGCUGACCUUGCUGUGUAGGUCUGAGGACUGCGACAUUCUUUAUCGCUAG